rnacentral:rRNA from 1 species
UCAGUGGCAGACGGGUGAGUAACACGUAGGUAACCUGCCCUCGAGACGGGGAUAACGGCUGGAAACGGUCGCUAAGACCCGAUAUAGUCUGACCUUCGGGAGAAGGUGAGAGGAAAGGCUUCGGUGCUCGGGGAGGGGCCUGCGGCCCAUCAGGCUAGUUGCGAGAGGUAACGGCUCCCCAAGGCAAUGACGGAGUACAGGGGUGUGAGAGCAUGGCCCCCCAAACUGGGACUGAGACACGGACCAGACUCCUACGGGAGGCAGCAGCAGGGAAUAUUGCGCAAUGGACGGAAGUCUGACGCAGCGAACGCCGCGUGGAUGACGAAGGCCUUCGGGUUGUCAAAUCCUUAUCCGGGCGAUGAGGAAGGACACUAGCCUGGGAAUAAGCGUCGGCUAACUACGUGCCAGCAGCCGAGGUAAGACGUAAGACGCGAGCGUAAUCCGGAUUUACUGGGCGUAAAGCGCCUGCAAGAGGUCAGGUAAGUCGGCUGUGAGAACCCCGUGCUCAAGAGCCGGGGAGGCCAAGCGAUACUGCGUGACUUGAGGCCGGAAGAGGGGAGUGGAAUUCCCGGUGUAGCGGUAAAAUGCGCAGAUAUCGGGAGGAACACCAGUGGCGAAGGCGGCUCCCUGGACCGCACCUGACGCUCAGAGGCGAAAGCUAGGGGAGCGAACAGGAUUAGAGACCCUGGUAGUCCUAGCCCUAAACGCCGGAUGCUAGGUGUAGGGCUGAUGAGGCUCUGUGCCGGAGCGAACGCGAUAAGCAUCCCGCCUGGGAACUACGGCCGCAAGGCUAAAACUCAAACGAAUUGACGGGGACCCGCACAAGCAGCGGAGCGUGUGGUUUAAUUCGAUGCUACACGAAGAACCUUACCUGGGUUUGACAUGCUGGUGGUACCGAACCGAAAGGGGAGGGACCCUUCGGGGAGCCAACACAGGUGCUGCAUGGCUGUCGUCAGCUCGUGCCGUGAGGUGUCGGGUUAAGUCCCGUAACGAGCGCAACCCUUGCUCUUAGUUAUACGUGUCUAAGGGGACUGCCGGCGACAAGCCGGAGGAAGGUGGGGAUGACGUCAAGUCAGCAUGGCCUUGAUAUCCAGGGCUACACACACGCUACAAUGGCCGGUACAAAGGGCAGCCAAGCCGCGAGGUGGAGCGAAUCCCAGCAAAGCCGGUCCCAGUUCGGAUUGCAGGCUGCAACCCGCCUGCAUGAAGUUGGAGUUGCUAGUAACCGCGCGUCAGCCAUAGUGCGGUGAAUACGUACCCGGGUCUUGUACACACCGCCCGUCACGUCAUGGGAGUUGGCAACGCCUGACAGCGGUAGCCUAACCGAAAGGAAGGCGCCGACUAAGGCGGGGCUAGCGACUGGGACGAAGUC